UAUUGAUCUGCUGGAGCUAUGUGUUCUUUGUUCUAAUUUACGUUCUACUGUAAAGGCUCUCCAGCUCAUCAUCACAGUACAGCUGAUUGGUUACAGUCUCAUUACUGGACACAAGAGGGAAGUGCAGAUGGUGAAUGAAAUGGCCAACAAAUGAUGUAAAGGGUAAUAUGAAAGCUGAUGUAAAAUGCAACCUAGAAGUUUAAAGGCAAUAAAACAUAAAAUAGGAAUACAAACAAGUUUACUGAUGACACAAAGCUGAGAGGAGUGGCUGAUAUCCCAGAGUGUUGUUCAGCCCUUCAGAAGGACUUCAGCAGGUUGAAGAGAUGGGCAGAAAUUUAACAAAGGCAAAUGCAGGUCCUACAACUUGGGAAGAAUAACCCCAGGCACCAGCACGGGCUGGGGGUUGACCUGCUGGAAAGCAGCUCUGCAGAGAAGGACCUGGGGGUCCUGAACAAGCUGUCCAUGAGCCAGCAGUGUGCCCUGGUGGCCAAGAAAGUCAAUGGUAUCUUGGACUGUAUUAGGAAGAGCAUUGCCAGGAGGUCAAGGGAGGUGAUUCUGCCCCUCUGCUCAGCCCUCCUGAGGCCAUAUCUGGAGUGCUGUGUCCAGUUUUGGGUUCCUCAGUACAAGAGAGACAGGGAGAUCCUGGAGCAGGUCCAGUGGAGGGCAACAAAGAUGUUUAAGGGACUGGAGCAUCUGUCUUGUGAGUAAAGGCUGAGGGAGCUGGGCCUGUUCAGCUUCGAGAAGAGAUAACUGAGAGGGGAUGUCAUGAAUAUCUACAAGUAUCUGAAGGGACGAUGUCAAGAGAAUGGAUCCAGGCUCUUGUCAGUGGUGCCAAGAAAUGGGACGAGGGGAAGUGGGCAGAAAUAGAUGCACAGGAAGUUCUACCUAAAUAAGAGGAACAACUUUACUGUGUGAGUGACUGCGCACUGGAACAGAUUACCCAGAAAGGUUGUGGAGUCUCCCUCACUGGAGAUAUUCAAGAAUCAUCUGGACAGAAUCCUUUGCGAUGUGCUCUAGGAUGAUCCUGCUUGAGUAAGGAGGUUGGACCAGAUGACCUACUAUGGUCCCUUCCAACCUUACCCAUUCUGUGAUUCUGUGGAGUUCAGUGCUCCACACAAUGGAGGAGGCCAAGAUCCUCUGCAGACAGAAAUGCAUUAUGCAGCACAUAUAUACAACACAAUAUAGGUUAUAGAUUGU